UAAGACCCCUACGACGACACUUCACACUUCAUCGGAUGUCUUUAUAAACGCGUGGGUGGUGCUUCUGUUGUCGCCGGUGGUCCGCUGCUCCUGAACCGACGUUCAGGUGCGGGUAGGAGCGGCGGCCGCUGCGGGUGUUUAGGUCUAGGUCUCUCGAUCUCUUCCAACAAGAGUUGGCCGGCCGCCCUACCUCUAGCGCCACCCGCGCGACAGCCCGUACCACCUCCGCGACGGCCCGUUCGACCCGCUCGACGACGUCGUCCUCAUGCUCGACGAGAGGCCGCGGGCGCCCCUGCAACGGAAGAAGGUCCUGCUCGACUCCUGGUACUUGCGGCGGCACGAGGCGACGCUCCGGGAGCUCCUCGGGCUGCAGGUCUGGUCGUCGACCUAGCGGGUCCAGGCGCUGGAGCGGAAGCUGUAGCUCCUGACCCAGCUGGAGAAGCGGGUGGCGCAGCUGCGGCCGUGGGUGCUGCGGUGGAGGGUGGCCAAGAGGGCGACCUAGGCGGCCGAGUGGUGGUAGGGGCUGGCGGUGCAGUAGCGGUGGCUCGAGUUCCUCGAGGCCCGCGCGCAGCAGCUCCACUCGCUCGACGCCUUCGCGAUGUCGGAGCCGGGCGUCUACGGCAGGGUAGUGCGCGGGCGGCAGCUGGGGGCGGAGAAGCGGAAGAUGCGGCUGUCGCGGCUGGAGCAGCCGUACCUGCCCGGCGCCCUGCUCCACCGCCCCUACCACUGGCCUGUCCCGAGCCCGCCCGAGUUCCAGCACAGGUAGCAGCCCUACCGGCCGAGGCCCUUCUGCUGCGAACGGUCCCUCCACAUGGCUAACCAGUUGCGCCCCAAAUGCACGGCGCGUAGCCAAAGCCAGCCGGCCUCGAGCCUGCAGCGGUUCCACGAGCCGCUAUACGACAGGGUUCACCUGUCGUCCCCUGCUCCACUACGACCGCUACACUUAGUUAACUAACCCUCCGACUCCCUCGUAGACGUUCUAUUCUCCAUAGAAGAUUACUAACUACUGGACACCUCACAAGUUUGGACCCUCUAUUAGUUUGUGACAAAAGGUCGCUUGUUAGAGCCCUCAGCCUAUUAGUGAUGUUGUUCUUAACUCCGACAACGCUUUCGUCCACGUCCACUGGUACAAAUGUUCUGUACAGAAGAACCGUUUCUGCUACGGCUUUGGAACAAAUGGGCUUCUCGAAAACCCUCACACCCACCUACGGGACGGGUAAACUUCCUACAGAGUCGAGUCUAGUACUUUUUCACACCACCAAACGGUGAGCGAUAUCACUCGCACCCACCGAAUAAUCGGUCAUUCCGCGCGUGUUCUCUACUUAAACUCGCCAAUCCUGACCUUACCGCGUGUUUAAGUCUCGAUGUUCCCUACUUUGUCUAGUAGUUUGAGUCGAUGUCACUAGAAGGACGGUUAGAGUUCUGUACAGAUAAUGUGGAUUCGUAUAAAGGACUCUUGGUACUCUAGCUUUAUCUCGCGGAACGCUCCGCAACCCAACGUCUUCCCAAGUAGUUACUUGUCGCACCGUGUUCGAACCUCCUUUGUCGCUCUUUGAUGUAGUUGCUCGAGUAACCGUCUUUGAAUUAGGUUGGUAGUGUCUACUUAGUACUACCGUGGGUAUCCUCGAUACAAGAAGUAGGUCAUUAUGUGCUAAAGUAGUAAACGUUCAGGUACCUUCUGUUGAAACAACGAGACCAUGUACGAGUUGUCGUUCUACAAGGUGGACCAUUACCGUGACAGGCUGCCGAUAGAAACAACUUAUCGUCAUUCGUACUAGUCCGGUGACGUGUUUAGCUACCCCGUUUUCAUAGAGCACGAGCGAGCUAGUGGCAUAAAAGAGUGUGGCCAGCGUGCGGAGCAGACUUACUUGAGUCACAUGACGCCCAAGAACUGGAACUUCCGACAGUUCCAGGUGACACGGAACUACCAGAGAUGUUUAACGACGAAGACUCCAUGAACUUGGAGUUCCCUUGUCUACAGUCACUCGAGGGUCUUGUCUAACCCCUCGAUUCUACGGACCUCUGUAACCUACACUCUAGGUGUUUCCACUUUCAUGAUGGAGGAUCGUAACAGUUCGACCUUUUCAAUUACGUAAACGAGCGGCCCUUGCGGUUCAACGGCUCACCCUAUUGGUUCUACUUCAGUGACGACUGUGAAAGCACGUCGUUAUAGCCCUUCUCGCGACUACGCCUGUAGUAAGUUCUCGAGGCAUUGUACCAUUCGAACUCCCUUUACCUUAAUAAAACAUUACAAGGAGCCUGCAGACUCCUAUUCUUUGUUCAGUGUAAAGGCUCACUACCUAAAGUCUCAGAAUUCUUCGAAAGCUAUUCCACGUCGAACGGUAGUCACUGGAAACACUGGCUACGAAAUAGCUUCCAACUUCACGAACUCGAUUUCAAACUUCUUCCGGAAAGUCUCCUCAGCUCACCACACAGACCAUAUCUCGUAGACAGUCCGGACUUCGUAUACUAGUAACUCAAAAGUGUCGUACUACGCCCACGACGUCGUCGUUGACGACGUCAGUUCUGCUGACGACUCUUCCAGGUAGGAUUAACAGUUCACUAGUAGCACUUACAACUAUUCUUCUGGUUGCUUAUCUGAAAACCUCGUAACACGUGUAGACUAAGACUCGUUCGUACUCCCUACACUGUAUGGAAGAUGGCCUCUGUCAGUUCCCGUAAACUACUAAGCAAAGUUGUGUGAAGGAAUUUGUCGCAAGAGCACUAAUUACAUCACUUAACCACGAACUUAUUCACUACGGGGAUCUUGAUCCGUAAUAGCAAGGAGUUUAAUUUACAUACUACAAAAGACGGUAACAAUGAACGAAGAUACGGUUCACAAAACUACCCUCCCACAUAGAAUGUCUUUGAAAUACAACGAAAGUCAAAGUCAGACUUUUGAUAUGAUCGUUUACUGGGACGUGCCUCAAGCACACUUAUGGAAUAUACAUUCAGCGGACUUAGAACUUAAACCCAGUAAGUUAAAGAUCUGGCAACUAAGAACGAGACUCUAAACACAACACAAAAAAAAACG
rnacentral:rRNA from 1 species